rnacentral:misc_RNA from 1 species
ACCGAGUUGACCCCGGCAGUCUCCUACGAGUCCCCGGCAUAACCCGCUGGCAACAUAGGAUAAGGGUUGCGCUCGUUGCGGGACUUAACCCAACACCUCACGGCACGAGCUAACGACAGCCAUGCAGCACCUGUGCUGGCUCCCCGAAGGGUCCUUCACGUUUCUGAUCCGUACCACCAGCAUGUCAAGCCCUGGUAAGGUUCUUCGCGUUGCAUCGAAUUAAACCACACGCUCCGCCGCUUGUGCGGGCCCCCGUCAAUUCCUUUGAGUUUUAACCUUGCGGCCGUACUCCCCAGGCGGAUGACUUAAUGCGUUAGCUGCGCCACCGAAAGCCUAUGGCCCCCGACAGCUAGUCAUCAUCGUUUACGGCGUGGACUAC